GGGGAUGUAGCUCAUUGGUAGAGCGCAUGCCUUGCAUGUAUGAGGUCCUGGGUUCAAUCCCCAGCAUCUCCA
rfam:Danio rerio chromosome 21, GRCz11 reference primary assembly.